rnacentral:rRNA from 1 species
AGCGAACGCUGGCGGCAGGCCUAACACAUGCAAGUCGAACGAACUCUUCGGAGUUAGUGGCGGACGGGUGAGUAACACGUGGGAACGUGCCUUUAGGUUCGGAAUAACUCAGGGAAACUUGUGCUAAUACCGAAUGUGCCCUUCGGGGGAAAGAUUUAUCGCCUUUAGAGCGGCCCGCGUCUGAUUAGCUAGUUGGUGAGGUAAAGGCUCAUCAAGGCGACGAUCAGUAGCUGGUCUGAGAGGAUGAUCAGCCACAUUGGGACUGAGACACGGCCCAAACUCCUACGGGAGGCAGCAGUGGGGAAUCUUGCGCAAUGGGCGAAAGCCUGACGCAGCCAUGCCGCGUGAAUGAUGAAGGUCUUAGGAUUGUAAAAUUCUUUCACCGGGGACGAUAAUGACGGUACCCGGAGAAGAAGCCCCGGCUAACUUCGUG